AAUCCAUAGGUUAAUGAGGCGAACCGGGGGAACUGAAACAUCUAAGUACCCCGAGGAAAAGAAAUCAACCGAGAUUCCCCCAGUAGCGGCGAGCGAACGGGGAGGAGCCCAGAGCCUGAAUCAGCAUGUGUGUUAGUGGAAGCGUCUGGAAAGGCGCGCGAUACAGGGUGACAGCCCCGUACACAAAAGCGCAUGUGCUGUGAGCUCGAUGAGUAGGGCGGGACACGUGGUAUCCUGUCUGAAUAUGGGGGGACCAUCCUCCAAGGCUAAAUACUCCUGACUGACCGAUAGUGAACCAGUACCGUGAGGGAAAGGCGAAAAGAACCCCGGCGAGGGGAGUGAAAAAGAACCUGAAACCGUGUACGUACAAGCAGUGGGAGCCCCACCACUAAGCCAGUGGUGGACUCCACAUACGCAUCCUUUGCUGAAGGCAAUGGUUAACGGAGCGAAAGCGACGUUCAACCGCAAAAGAAGCAGAGGGGGCUUAG
rnacentral:rRNA from 1 species